rnacentral:rRNA from 1 species
AUUGAACGCUGGCGGCAGGCCUAACACAUGCAAGUCGAACGAGUGGCGGACGGGUGAGUAAUGUCUGGGAAACUGCCUGAUGGAGGGGGAUAACUACUGGAAACGGUAGCUAAUACCGCAUACCAUCGGAUGUGCCCAGAUGGGAUUAGCUAGUAGGUGGGGUAAAGGCUCACCUAGGCGACGAUCCCUAGCUGGUCUGAGAGGAUGACCAGCCACACGGGAACGGAGACACGGUCCAGACCCCUACGGGGGGCAGCAGUGGGGAAUAUUGACCAAUGGGCGCAAGCCUGUUGCAGCCAUGCCGGGUGAAUGAAGAAGGCCUUCGGUUUGUAAAGUACUUUCGGCGGGGAGGCGUUACCCGCAGAAGAAGCACCGGCUAACUCCGUGCCAGCCGCCGCGGUAAUA